GACGAACGCUGGCGGCGUGCUUAACACAUGCAAGUCGAACGGAAAGGCCCUGCUUUUGUGGGGUGCUUGAGUGGCGAACGGGUGAGUAACACGUGAGUAACCUGCCCUUGACUUUGGGAUAACUUUAGGAAACUGGGGCUAAUAUCGGAUAGGAGCUCCUGCUGCAUGGUGGGGGUUGGAAAGUUUCGGCGGUUGGGGAUGGACUCGCGGCUUAUCAGCUUGUUGGUGGGGUAGUGGCUUACCAAGGCUUUGACGGGUAGCCGGCCUGAGAGGGUGACCGCCCACAUUGGGACUGAGAUACGGCCCGGACUCCUACGGGAGGCAGCAGUGGGGAAUAUUGCACAAUGGGCGGAAGCCUGAUGCAGCAACGCCGCGUGCGGGAUGACGGCCUUCGGGUUGUAGACCGCUUUCGCCUGUGACGAAGCGUGAGUGACGGUAAUGGGUAAAGAAGCACCGGCUAACUACGUG
rnacentral:rRNA from 1 species